UACGGGGGGGGCAAGCGUUGUUCGGAAUUACUGGGCGUAAAGCGCGUGUAGGCGGCCUCGCAAGUCGGGUGUGAAAGCCCUGGGCUCAACCCAGGAAGUGCACUCGAUACUGCAAGGCUUGAGUUCCGGAGAGGAAAGCGGAAUUCUCGGUGUAGAGGUGAAAUUCGUAGAUAUCGAGAGGAACACCGGUGGCGAAGGCGGCUUUCUGGACGGCGACUGACGCUGAGACGCGAAAGCGUGGGGAGCAAACAGG
rnacentral:rRNA from 1 species